CUUUGAUGAUCUUUAAUGUCAAGAAGAUUUCCCAUGCGCCACGGACAGCUUUGUUUCUUAUACAACCUUGGACUACCUGCCCAGGGCUGGCACCACCCACAGUGGAUUGGGCUCCCUCACAUCAAUUGUUAAUCAAGACAAUGUCCCACAUACUUGCCUAUAGAUGAAUAUGGUGGAAGCAGUUCCUCAAGGAUCACUCUUCCCAGAUGACUGUGGUGUCUAGUUGAUAAAAAUUAGCUGGUAUACAUCCAUCAUAGCAGUCUCCCAGGAAUCUUCAGAGUUUAGAAAAAUACUACUGAGAAAGAGGUGGUCUUUUCAGAGAUAAGAAGGCCUUCCAGAUCUGUCAUUCCUUGGGAGAAAAGUCUUUGCAGGUAUUAUAAUAACUCUCAAAUAUACAGGAGGAAGAAGACAGUGUGGUUCAUUAGAUUCUAUACUUUGCAUGAAACCCAGUGCAUCACAUCAUCAGUUCCUUUGUGAGCAUUGGACAGAAAUUAGCCUCAGCAUCAGACCUGUCUUCAUGGAGAAUGACACUGCAGUCUUGAUGCAAGAGUGGUCCUCUGCCCUUGGCACCCUAUCUGCUAGGAAGCAGCAAAUAUUUCCUGCUCUGAGACCUGAAAUGCCAGCAUAAAAGUCCAACUGUGAUUAAGCUGUACCCUGGAAACAGUAGGAAUUGCUGUCACCUAGCAAGAGUCAUCAGGAUGCUCCAGUCUUCCAUGUACAGAACAGUCAAGUGCACAUCCCAAUUCUCCAGUGGCAUCUAGACUCUCCAAGAGGGACAAUUAUGGAAUUGUCAGUAGUGGGAUGAGGCCUCUCUCCAAAGCAGCUCAGCUUUCUCAGUCCCCAAAGCUCUGCAUUGGACCUCACAAUCCUCUUUGUUCCAACCGAACACCUGGCAGAGAUAUAGUUAAUGAUGCUCCCUUUUGGAGUUUAUUAAUUCCAUAAGCCUCUAUUUGUGAAUGGCUGCAAUAAAGAACAAACAUAAAAGUGAGAAUCGACAGAUGGGGCACUACUCCUUUGAUGUCACACUCAGAUUAAACAGGCAAGUCUUGGGAACAGCUUUCCAAAUUAGGGCAGCCAGCCCUUGUGGGAGAAGGUACUAGGGAGCAGAGUAAGGCCUGUUUUGCAGGCUCCCGCCAAGGCAGAGCUUGUACCCAAUCUCUAGGGACUUGUUGAAAGAAAAACCAGAUCUAAUCAUAUCUUGAAUAUAAAAAUGGGGUCUGUUUUAGACCUUCUGAAUAUCAAGAUAGGUUUCUUAAGGGCAUAUGAGACUAACUUUUAUAGAGAUCUGAAGUUUUGUAAUUCUUUCUUUUUCCCUCCUCCUCUCUCCCAGCUCUCUCUCUCUCUCUCUCUCUCUCUCUCUCUCUCUCUCUCUCUCUCUCUCUGUGUGUGUGUGUGUGUGUGCAUACACCUGGAAGCUCAUAUGCAAUGCCCCCCCCACAAAGACAGAGACAGAGACACACAGACAGAUACACACACAGAGAUAUUAAAGGCACAGAGAGACAAAGACAGACAGACAGACAGAUGCAUGUGUGCAUGUACGCACACACAUGGCUUGAAAACAACAUCAAGGAUGGUAGAGGGAACUUUCUGUGUCAUCGUUAGGGUGUGGUUUGCUUCCACAUCUGGAGGACUUUAUCUUCUGUAAAGAAUUCUUGGGACUAGUCAUGGGACUCAC
ensembl:lncRNA